UACGUAGGGGGCAAGCGUUGUCCGGAUUUAUUGGGCAUAAAGAGCGUGUAGGCGGCCUGACAGGUCUGCUGUGAAAACUCGAGGCUCAACCUCGAGAUGUCGGCGGAAACCGUCUGGCUAGAGUCCGGAAGAGGAGAGUGGAAUUCCUGGUGUAGCGGUGAAAUGCGCAGAUAUCAGGAAGAACACCAGUGGCGAAGGCGGUUCUCUGGGACGGUACUGACGCUGAGACGCGAAAGCGUGGGGAGCGAACAGG
rnacentral:rRNA from 1 species